rnacentral:rRNA from 1 species
GAUGAACGCUGGCGGCGUGCCUAAUAUAUGCAAGUCGAGCGAACAGACGAGGAGCUUGCUCCUCUGACGUUAGCGGCGGACGGGUGAGUAACACGUGGAUAACCUACCUAUAAGACUGGGAUAACUUCGGGAAACCGGAGCUAAUACCGGAUAAUAUAUUGAACCGCAUGGUUCAAUAGUGAAAGACGGUUUUGCUGUCACUUAUAGAUGGAUCCGCGCCGCAUUAGCUAGUUGGUAAGGUAACGGCUUACCAAGGCGACGAUGCGUAGCCGACAUGAGAGGGUGAUCGGCCACACUGGAACUGAGACACGGUCCAGACUCCUACGGGAGGCAGCAGUAGGGAAUCUUCCGCAAUGGGCGAAAGCCUGACGGAGCAACGCCGCGUGAGUGAUGAAGGUCUUCGGAUCGUAAAACUCUGUUAUUAGGGAAGAACAAAUGUGUAAGUAACUAUGCACGUCUUGACGGUACCUAAUCAGAAAGCCACGGCUAACUACGUG